rnacentral:rRNA from 1 species
UACGGAGGGUGCAAGCGUUAAUCGGAAUUACUGGGCGUAAAGCGCACGCAGGCGGUCUGGCAAGUCAGAUGUGAAAUCCCCGGGCUCAACCUGGGAACUGCAUUCGAAACUGGCAGACUAGAGUACUGUAGAGGGGGAUAGAAUUCCAGGUGUAGCGGUGAAAUGCGUAGAGAUCUGGAGGAAUACCGGUGGCGAAGGCGGCCCCCUGGACAUAUACUGACGCUCAGGUGCGAAAGCGUGGGGAGCAAACAGG